rnacentral:ncRNA from 7 species
GGUUGUCUCGCUCAGUCGGUAGAGCGCAAGGCUCUUAACCUUGUGAUUGUGGGUUUGAGUCCCACAGUCCA